UACAAACACACACACUGCAUUAUAUACACAUACUAUACAAACACUAUAUAUAAUGCAGUGUGUGUAUAAUGC